rnacentral:rRNA from 1 species
CUACUAGCUGGCGACCGGCGCACGGGUGAGUAACACGUAUCCAACCUGCCCUUUACUCGGGGAUAGCCUUUCGAAAGAAAGAUUAAUACCCGAUAGCAUAAUGAUUCCGCAUGGUUUCAUUAUUAAAGGAUUCCGGUAAAGGAUGGGGAUGCGUUCCAUUAGGUUGUUGGUGAGGUAACGGCUCACCAAGCCUUCGAUGGAUAGGGGUUCUGAGAGGAAGGUCCCCCACAUUGGAACUGAGACACGGUCCAA